AGAUUAUGCGUUCCUCCUCUCGACCGAAAGAGAAGAAGGCGCAAACGGCUUCUUCCUCGUCGGAGAUCUAAGCUUCGAUCUCUCCGUUUACGCCCCCGAUGGCUUCGUCCUCCAAUGAUUUCUAUACUGGAGUUGGCGUUGUCAAGAGGCAAGACAGAGGGCCUCUGUUGAAGUUCCUAGUUCCUCUCAUAUACGCUCUAGUUCUUCCUCUCAUUUAGUUCGAAUCGAUCCGAGGCACAAACCGGUGCUGAGGGAGAGGUUGUUCUUCGGCGCCUUGGCUGCUGCAUUCGCUCACGGAGCAUACUUGUGGCUGCUUGCUAGCUUCGACAUCCUCCAUCAUCUCAAAGCAACCCAUCUGAAGGAAAGAGGGGCAAACAUGUCACUUAUGUCUCUCUUGACUUUUCUUUUGUUUGAGAUUGGUAAGAAAAUGAUUCAUUUAAUUCUUUCUCACUUUUCUUUUUCUACAAGUAAACAUCAACUUUUAGAUUAUCUUCCUUGUUUUUUCUCUCCAAGUAAAUAAGCUCAAGUAAAUGCUAAGAAAGAAACAGGAAAGAGAGUUGUCAAAGCAAUAUGUGGAAGCAUAUUCAUGGAGGAUGCUUUUGCCCAAAAGGCUUUAAAUUUGAAGCGAGAUGAUCCAAAUGCUACAUUAUGGGAUUUUCACCCUGUACAAAUCUUCAUUUAUUAAAUUUAUUUCCCCUUUCUUUUUUCUACUGUAGGAGAUAGUAAAUUAGGAGAGAAGAUGGAGGAAAAAAAAUUGAAGGGGAGAGAAUUUUUUUUUCCGGUCAUUUGGGAGGAUAGAAGGAUGAGGACAAAAGGUUUCAUAUUUUUUUCUCAUUUAUCACUUCCAAUCCUACCUGUUAUCCUCAAAUACAAGCUACUAACCGAAAAGGCCAAACUUUGCCAUUUUUUUACCGUUUAA